rnacentral:sRNA from 1 species
GCAGCAGGAGGAGGCAGAGAGCACAGCAUCGUCGGGACCAGACUCGUCUCAGGCCAGUUGCAGCCUUCUCAGCCAAACGCCGACCAAGGAAAACUCACUACCAUGAGAAUUGCAGUGAUUUGCUUUUGCCUCCUAGGCAUCACCUGUGCCCUACCAGUUAAACAGGCUGAUUCUGGAAGUUCUGAGGAAAAGCAGCACUAAAGAUGUACCUACCCCUCCACAACAGAUGAAACUGUGCCAGCCAAACAACAAAUGGGCAUUGUCCCCAGAAGCUUGGACAAAAAGGCACACAGAGUUCAAUUCCAGUUGAACAGAAUAAAGGCCAAAAUAGAGCUGCCUUGGGGGUCACUGCAAUUAGACUGCUUAAUGAAGACAUUAAAAGAACUUUACAACAAAUACCCAGAUGCUGUGGCCACAUGGCUAAACCCUGACCCAUCUCAGAAGCAGAAUCUCCUAGCCCCACAGAAUGCUGUGUCCUCUGAAGAAACCAAUGACUUUAAACAAGAGACCCUUCCAAGUAAGUCCAAUGAAAGCCAUGACCACAUGGAUGAUGUGGAUGAUGAAGAUGAUGAUGACCAUGUGGACAGCCAGGACUCCAUUGACUCGAACGACUCUGAUGAUGUAGAUGACACUGAUGAUUCUCACCAGUCUGAUGAGUCUCACCAUUCUGAUGAAUCUGAUGAACUGGUCACUGAUUUUCCCACGGACCUGCCAGCAACCGAAGUUUUCACUCCAGUUGUCCCCACAGUAGACACAUAUGAUGGCCGAGGUGAUAGUGUGGUUUAUGGACUGAGGUCAAAAUCUAAGAAGUUUCGCAGACCUGACAUCCAGUACCCUGAUGCUAUAGACGAGGACAUCACCUCACACAUGGAAAGCGAGGAGUUGAAUGGUGCAUACAAGGCCAUCCCCGUUGCCCAGGACCUGAACGCGCCUUCUGAUUGGGACAGCCGUGGGAAGGACAGUUAUGAAACGAGUCAGCUGGAUGACCAAAGUGCUGAAACCCACAGCCACAAGCAGUCCAGAUUAUAUAAGCGGAAAGCCAGUGAUGAGAGCAAUGAGCAUUCCGAUGUGAUUGAUAGUAAGGAACUUUCCAAAGUCAGCCGUGAAUUCCACAGCCAUGAAUUUCACAGCCAAGGAGAUAUGCUGGUUGUAGACCCCAAAAGUAAGGAAGAAGAUAAACACCUGAAAUUUCGUAUUUCUCAUGAAUUAGAUAGUGCAUCUUCUGAGGUCAAUUAAAAGGAGAAAAAAUACAAUUUCUCACUUUGCUUUUAGUCAAAAGAAAAAAUGCUUUAUAGCAAAAUGAAAGAGAACAUGAAAUGCUUCUUUCUCAGUUUAUUGGUUGAAUGUGUAUCUAUUUGAGUCUGGAAAUAACUAAUGUGUUUGAUAAUUAGUUUAGUUUGUGGCUUCAUGGAAACUCCCUGUAAACUAAAAGCUUCAGGGUUAUGUUUAUGUUCAUUCUACAGAAGAAAUGCAAACUAUCACUGUAUUUUAAUAUUUGUUAUUCUCUCAUGAAUAGAAAUUUAUGUAGAAGCAAACAAAAUACUUUUACCCACUUAAAAAGAGAAUAUAACAUUUUAUGUCACUAUAAUCUUUUGUUUUUUAAGUUAGUGUAUAUUUUGUUAUUAUCUUUUUGUGGUGUGAAUAAAUCUUUUAUCUUGAAUGU